CCUACGGGAGGCAGCAGUGAGGAAUAUUGGUCAAUGGACGGAAGUCUGAACCAGCCAUGCCGCGUGCAGGAAGACGGCUCUAGGAGUUGUAAACUGCUUUUGUACAAGGGUAAACCUGAAUACGUGUAUUCAGCUGAAAGUACUGUACGAAUAAGGAUCGGCUAACUUCGUGCCAGCAGCCGCGGUAAUACGGAGGAUCCAAGCGUUAUCCGGAUUUAUUUGGUUUAAAGGGUGCGUAGGCGGAUUGAUAAGUUAGAGGUGAAAUGUCCGGGGUUAACUCGGGAACUGCCUUUAAUACUGUUGAUCUAGAGAGUAGAUGCGGUAGGCGGAAUGUAUGGUGUAGCGGUGAAAUGCUUAGAGAUCAUACAGAACACCGAUUGCGAAGGCAGCUUACCAAUCUAUAUCUGACGUUGAGGCACGAAAGCGUGGGGAGCAAACAGGAUUAGAUACCCCGGUAGUC
rnacentral:rRNA from 1 species